rnacentral:lncRNA from 1 species
UUAGAUGAUUAGUCAACACAAGGGAAAGACUUGAGUUACUUCCAACAGGGGUCUAUUCGUCAGUCAAAACGUUAAUCUUGAAGGAGCAAAGGUUUGUUCAUGAGCUGUCAUGCUCGCUAGGCAUUGAGUUACUUCCAACAGGGGUCUAUUCGUCAGUCAAAACGUUAAUCUUGAAGGAGCAAAGGUUUGUUCAUGAGCUGUCAUGCUCGCUAGGCGAAGCCCACGUGUUUUGAAAAAAAAAAACGAAAAAAAAAAAUUUAAAUAAAUAAAAAAU